UACGUGGGGAGCAAGCGUUGUUCGGAUUUACUGGGCGUAAAGGGCGCGUAGGCGGUCAGCACAAGUCAGUUGUGAAAUCUCCGGGCUUAACUCGGAAAGGUCAACUGAUACUGUGCGACUAGAGUGCAGAAGGGGCAACUGGAAUUCUCGGUGUAGCGGUGAAAUGCGUAGAUAUCGAGAGGAACACCUGCGGCGAAGGCGGGUUGCUGGGCUGACACUGACGCUGAUGCGCGAAAGCCAGGGGAGCGAACGGG
rnacentral:rRNA from 1 species